GAUGAACGCUGGCGGCGUGCCUAAUACAUGCAAGUCGAGCGAACAGACGAGGAGCUUGCUCCUCUGACGUUAGCGGCGGACGGGUGAGUAACACGUGGAUAACCUACCUAUAAGACUGGGAUAACUUCGGGAAACCGGAGCUAAUACCGGAUAACAUGUUGAACCGCAUGGUUCAACAGUGAAAGACGGUCUUGCUGUCGCUUAUAGAUGGAUCCGCGCCGCAUUAGCUAGUUGGUAAGGUAACGGCUUACCAAGGCAACGAUGCGUAGCCGACCUGAGAGGGAGAUCGGCCACACUGGAACUGAGACACGGUCCAGACUCCUACGGGAGGCAGCAGUAGGGAAUCUUCCGCAAUGGGCGAAAGCCUGACGGAGCAACGCCGCGUGAGUGAAGAAGGUCUUCGGAUCGUAAAACUCUGUUAUUAGGGAAGAACAAAUGUGUAAGUAACUAUGCACGUCUUGACGGUACCUAAUCAGAAAGCCACGGCUAACUACGUG
rnacentral:rRNA from 1 species